rnacentral:lncRNA from 1 species
UUUAGAGAUGGUAUUGAGUUGAAGAAAAGGGUUCAGAGAAGCUAAACAGUAUGGCUCACAAGGGAUUAUAUUGGCUCCAUUUCCUCAAACACACAUGCUUCUGUACAUUCACACACAUUUCCAUGAACCCAGGACCUGCCCGCAUCUCCAGGUACCAGUGAUUUAAGCCCCGCUCAGAAGACAUGAAGAGGACUGGGGUCUGUCUCAGCAGUGAGGGUGUGUGUGGGUGGGUGGGUGCAUGCACGCACGCGCACAUGUGCAUGUGAGUUGAGUGGGAGGGUGGAUACCUUAUUGAUUUCUGGUUUAGAGUUUUAUCCCACCAGACAGAAGUAGGCGGAAGGGCCUGUCUAGGUCAGGAAUAUAUACACCCUGGAGAGCUAGGUCCCCUAGGCCUCUGGAUGCCUGGGUAGUGUGGGGACCCCUUCUGAAGCUGUCAGGGCUGUGACUGGCACCCUUGAUUACCCCUUCUCUUAUUGCUUUUGGGGAAUAGUGGGGGAGGAGUCUUUCUAGAACCCCUGGCCGCUCCUGCCCUUGAGUUUUCACUGUUUCCCUCCAGGCCAGAAAGUUCUAUUUGAGGAAGGGAAGGAGAGGGCAGCAAUGAUGCCUUUGAUCUGGAAUUGGACUUUACUCUAGUGGAGCAUAGGGGAGGCUCAGAUCACCUCCUCUCUCUGCUACUUAGCCCAGCUGCUUGGAGGACCCGUUACGGAGGCAAGAGGAACUGAAUUUUCUCCCAAGUGGGAAAGGGUCCCAAGCAAUCCAGAGAGGAUGUCUGUGUGGCUUUCCCUCCCUACCUCCCCCAACUCCUACACUGGCCUUUGUAAAUAAAUGAUAUGGUCUUUGUUGUG